AAAGGAUUCCAGGCUAUUGUUUGCCUUUUAAUUUUUGUUUUUAAAUUUUUGGUUAGUAGAAAUUUGAAAUCAUGUGUUCAAAUCCCUCUAUCUUCUAUUUUGUGAUUUUUGUUCCAUUAAGUUUGAACAUUUCCCUCAAUCUAGAAAUUUAGUGAACAUUCAUUUUGGCUUCAUCUGAAGAUAACCAUCAAAUUAUAUUUGAAAAGGGGAAAAAGAUCCAUAAUUUCACCACCCAGAGAUAACCAGUGUUAAUAAAUGUGUUCACUUCUUUUCAUUUCUUCUGCAUUUUUCUACAGUGAUCACAUAUUUACUUGUACUAUUUUAUAUUGUGUUUUGUCUUUAUAACAUGCAUUUUUCUGUGUUGAACAUUUUUGUAACUGUGAUUGAAUGGUUUCAUGGUAUUUUGUAUGGCAGUAUCUUAGGGUUUUCAGUAUGUUCAAUAGUAAUUAUAUAAUUAUGUUUUUUCAUUUAGUUUUUAUUGUUUAUCUAUUUUGAGUUAUUUCUUUAUAGGAUAGAGUUCAGGAUUAGAAUUAUUCAUCAAAAAGUUUGAACAUUAUAAAGACCUGCCAUAAUAGCAUUCCAAAAAGUUUUAUCAAUUUUUGUACCCGGUCAUUUAGGUACAUAAAAAUUUUUUUUGCUUACUUGAUAUGUAAAAGAAUGGUAUUUUUGACUUACGGUUAUUGGUGAAGCUGGGACUCUCAUGUUAAUUAUUCGCUCCUAUUUCCUCUUGUAAACUAUUGAACUUGGGUCUGAAUGUUAAUCUGUUUGUAAGAGCUCUGUAUUAUGUGCUCUGUAUAAGGAUCUAUUACCCCUUAUCAUUUGUUGCACAUACACUCCUGGUAUAUGUUUUUUGCCAUUGAAUAUGAAGAAAUGUUUGUAAUUCCAAAGACAACUGCGUCGUGGAAUACUUGCCAAAUUCUUGGUAGCCAUUUUGAGAUAGCAUUUAUCUGUUCUUUAGAUAGAUAGCCAUUUCUUUUUUUCUAAAGGAAAGCAACAUUGACUGCUGCACAGCAGUGUUCCUCCCUGGUUAUAGAUGUAGGGAGAAGACACGGCAACAUUUUGUCCCUAAUAAGACAUUGGCAGCCAAUGUAGACCAGACACAAAACAGUAGUCACCCUUCCCCCAUCCAUUUGGGGACUGAUGCUAUUUUGAAUAUUUAUGAGUGAUCUGGGGGAGGAUGCAGACAUAGUAUUCACUUUUGUAGAUAACACUGAACUCUUUGGAGAUGUAAAAUGGUAAAGGAACAAACUGUAACACCUGAAAAGACUUUGUGCAUGUGGGCUGGCAAUUAGCAGAAUGGAGCAGUGUAGUUAAGAGUAAUGUAAUGAUUUUAGGGAAAAAUAGUAUGUUAAGCAUAUAAAAUAGAGACCUCAGAGACAUUGGGUCUCAAGACAAGGAUUUCAGUGUAAAAUGGAAACAGUUUGUUAGUGUCAUCAGCUUAAUUUUCUGGUGCAGAGACAAAAGAGUCAUUAAAAACCUAGGCCUUAUUAAGAAUGAUACAUGACACAAAAAUUCCAUCCUCUCUGUAUAAAACCAUCUGAAUCAAAUGACUAGUUUACACUAGUAAUCUCACCUCAAGGAAUCUCUUACUACCUCUCACCAUAUAUUUUGAAAUGGUGAUGGCAAGAGUGUGUUACAUCUCAGUUUCAUUUUUCUUAGUUAUAACAUGUAGGUGAUUAAGAUUAGGUCUUGGGGGUGGGAUAGGGUAUCUUAUUUUGGCUUAAUGAAGCUGGGUCUAUUAUAUGUGGUUCAGAGAAUCUGUUUAAUUAUAUUAAACCUUUCUAAAUUAUUCUACUCCAUGAGGUAUAUACUAUUUCUUUUAUAUUUAAUAACAUUCUAAUUUUAAUUUUUUCAGUGAAGGGGGAUUAUUGGAUUUAGAGGUGUCAAGUGAACUGUUUCUACUUUUUUGCUAUCCCAUUGUACUGGGUUAAUCCCUUUAGUUGGAAGCCCCCAUUUUUUUCAGCAUUUUGCUAGCUGCAGAUAUUAAACCAGGCUUGGCAGAUGUAUAAUAAGCAAAACAAAAUGAAACAAAGCAACAACAAAUCUGUGUUGUAGAGGAGGUGGUUGAGAAUGUCCUUUACUGGAGGUCUGUGCCUGUUUUAAGCAUAAGAGUUACCUUUGACGUCAUGCCAGUGUCUCGUUCCCAAAUCCAUCUAUGAUCGGGUGUUAGGUAGAGCCUGGAUAUUUGAAAUAGCCUGAAAGCAUUUAACUUUUGACUUCUACAAUUUGUUCCUCCUCUCUCUUGAUGUUACAGCCAGCAGCAAUCUGGAGCAGCACUCCUUGGAAAGAAAUUUUACAUCGGCCAUUAUAAUACAACCUGAUAAGUGUUACAGCACUUAUCAGGUUGUAUUGUAAUUGUCUGUGUAUAUAUAUGCCUGUCUCCCUUCCUCUGUUAUCAGUUAGACUGUGAGCUCCUUGAGGGCAGGAAUAGUGUCUUCAUCUCCAGAGCCCAGCCUGGCACAUUAGUAGGCCUCAGUAAAUGUUUAUUGGAUGAAUAAAUGAAUGACUCAUCAACAAACAUUUAUUGUGUGCCUGCUAACGUGAUCUCCACAGGCUCUGGACUGUCAACUGUUUCUUCAAAAUGCAUGUGGUCAGAAACUUGUUUCUUUCCAGUUAUGUGUAUAUCUUCUCAAGAGUUUCUCAUGAGAUAAUGCUAUUUUUGUGUUUGGAUUUCAGUCCUUGGUAUUUACAGAUGUUGCUACUGUUGCUACCGCUGAUAAUCUUCCUGGGUGAAAGCUGCCAGAUCAGGAGCCUUAUCCUCACUGCCUAGUAUUUGCUGAAUUAUUCCUGUUUGUGGACUUUUCACUCCUCCUCAGGUCUUACUUUACCUAGUAUUCCUAGGUAGGGCACUACAUUCUAGAUCAGAGGUGGGCAAGUGCAGCCCCAUGGGCUACCUGGUUUUACAAAUAAAGUUCUGUUGGAACACUGCCAUCAUUUGUUGAUAUUUUGUCUGUGGCUUCUUUGACCUACAACAGCAGAGCUGACAGUGGCGGCCCACAAAACUCGGCGCUAUAAAAAGAUUGCCUACCAUGUUUUUGAUCAUCACUCAACAGUGAUGGUUUCAUUCUCCUCUCCAUUUAUCAGAGAUACUUUUAGCAUCUCAGAAACUCAUUUAUUUACCUCAUUCAUUAUUGCUUAUGACAAGUCUUUUUCUUGUUUUAUAGAUGGGAGGCUAGGACACACUUCAAACUAGGAGAUUGAUUUUUAAAGCCUCCCCCAGGGUCCCGCAGUCAGUCAGUUAUACCAUGUCCUUCAACAUCAACUGUCAAGCUUUAGUACUUUAAAAUUCAUUUUUUAUGUCCUAACUUGAAGCAUAUGACCAUAUCAUGCUUUGGUGCCUUAUCCCUUGCUCCCCCCCCACCUCCUACACAGCUCUUUGCAAUGAGAAUAUGGAAAAUAAGGAAUUAAUGUGAGAUAACAGCAGAAAAGUAGGUUAAGGCAAAUGUUUAGAGGGUCUGAAUGCUAAUGUUUAAACUAAGAAAUGGGGUUUCUGAAAUAUUCACUUAUUCAUACUUAAACAGGUAGUGAGACUGUACUUACAAGAGCUUAGAGACCUCCCCUCAACCCUCCCUAAUCUACCACACAUUGUCUUGGAAAGCUGCCUGUGAGUAUAUUGUCCUUCAUGUCACUUCAUUAAAAAGUUGGAAACCUCCAAGUGAAAGCUAGAUCUAAAAAAAAAAAAAGAGAUAUCUCAUUCUAGGAGUAAAAUGGAGGGAAAUGUUUUACAGCAUUAUAUUUCAAGCUGCUUGCUGGAUUUUGUCCCAGCAUUUUAUUAUCAAAAUUGUCAUACAGAAAAUUUGAAAGAAUUGGGGAGUUCCUGUUGUGGCACAGCGGAAACGAAUCUGACUAGUAUUCAUGAGGAUGUAGGUCGAUCCCUGGCCGUGCUCAGUGGGUGGGGGAUACGGAAUUGCCGUGAGCUGUGGUGUAGGUCACAGUCGAGGCUCAGAUCCCAAGUUGCUGUGGCUGUGACAUAGGCCGGCAGCUGUAGCUCUGGUUUGACCCCUAGCCUGGGAACUUACGUAUGCCACACAUGCGGCCCUAAAAAAAAAAAUUGGAAGAAUUGUACAGUGAAAAUCCAUAUACUCACUACCUAGGUGGUACAGUUAACAUUUUGCUGUAUUACAUAGUCAUCCAUCUUUGUUGGAUAGGUUUUUUGAAAUAGUUGUGGUUGUCAUCCAUUUUGAUCUCAUCUGUUGUGACCCAUCAUGGUGCUGAAAAAUAAUUUUUGAUUCUUAACUGUAUUUUCCAAGUUGGCAUGGAUACCAUUGCAGCCUUUGUGUAGGCAGAUCUGCUUGGGACUGAGAGUCCCAGGUAGAGAAGACGUUUUGUUUCUGAAAGAAAAUGGCUGCAGCUCACCAUUGUUUAUUAGAAAUAGUAAGAAAAAGAAAAAUGGGAGUCUAGGUCCAGUGUCAGUAAAUCCUUUCAAUAAUAUAUUGCCCUGCACUUCAUUCACUUCACUGGCUUGACGGGGACAGGUGGUUUUCAGAGCAGCUUCUGUUUGGUUCUUUCCUUUAAGAAUUAACGAAGGAGAAGCAACAAAGUACUGUCGAAAUGCCGCUGAAGUGAUAUUCAGCAUUAGCACAACUCCUUGGAAUUUUAGCAAAUAGGUUUUUAAUUUGGACUACUGUCUGAUAAUAUUCUUCUGGCCCUUUUCUGUUAGCAAUAGCCUCAGAGUCAAAAGAAGCACUGUGAACUGAAAUUUGUCUUUAUCAUGAACAUGAUAAUGGUAAAUGUUACUUGUUUGUGUCUAUCUCCCUUCAUUUAAGUUCAAGGGCAGAGGUCAUAUCUUACUCAAUCUUUGUAAUUCUCUCAGUAGUCAUAAAAAAUGCAAUAUUACAUUUAAUACCUAUUACAUGGGCAAAGAUUUUAAAAUGUUAUACUAAUGUUGGUGAGAUAUAUCCAAUUUUAUUGUAAUCCUUCGUAGGAGCAAUUUGGCAAUAUAUAUUAAUGGGCAGAAUAAAUAUUACAUGUCCUUUGGCCCAGCAAUUUCAUUUCUAGGGAUAUGCCUCUAAAUAGUCUUUAAAAAUUCUUAAUAAUGUAAAGAUAUAUUAAAAGAUUUAGGUAUGGGAACGUUCACAAUGUUCAUAGCAGUAAAAAAAAAAAAAAAA
rnacentral:lncRNA from 1 species